CGGCAUGCUAAUACAUGCAAGUCGAGCGGACAGAUGGGAGCUUGCUCCCUGAUGUUAGCGGCGGACGGGUGAGUAACACGUGGGUAACCUGCCUGUAAGACUGGGAUAACUCCGGGAAACCGGGGCUAAUACCGGAUGCUUGUUUGAACCGCAUGGUUCAAACAUAAAAGGUGGCUUCGGCUACCACUUACAGAUGGACCCGCGGCGCAUUAGCUAGUUGGUGAGGUAACGGCUCACCAAGGCAACGAUGCGUAGCCGACCUGAGAGGGUGAUCGGCCACACUGGGACUGAGACACGGCCCAGACUCCUACGGGAGGCAGCAGUAGGGAAUCUUCCGCAAUGGACGAAAGUCUGACGGAGCAACGCCGCGUGAGUGAUGAAGGUUUUCGGAUCGUAAAGCUCUGUUGUUAGGGAAGAACAAGUACCGUUCAAAUAGGGCGGUACCUUGACGGUACCUAACCAGAAAGCCACGGCUAACUACGUGCCAGCAGCCGCGGUAAUACGUAGGUGGCAAGCGUUGUCCGGAAUUAUUGGGCGUAAAGGGCUCGCAGGCGGUUCCUUAAGUCUGAUGUGAAAGCCCCCGGCUCAACCGGGGAGGGUCAUUGGAAACUGGGGAACUUGAGUGCAGAAGAGGAGAGUGGAAUUCCACGUGUAGCGGUGAAAUGCGUAGAGAUGUGGAGGAACACCAGUGGCGAAGGCGACUCUCUGGUCUGUAACUGACGCUGAGGAGCGAAAGCGUGGGGAGCGAACAGGAUUAGAUACCCUGGUAGUCCACGCCGUAAACGAUGAGUGCUAAGUGUUAGGGGGUUUCCGCCCCUUAGUGCUGCAGCUAACGCAUUAAGCACUCCGCCUGGGGAGUACGGUCGCAAGACUGAAACUCAAAGGAAUUGACGGGGGCCCGCACAAGCGGUGGAGCAUGUGGUUUAAUUCGAAGCAACGCGAAGAACCUUACCAGGUCUUGACAUCCUCUGACAAUCCUAGAGAUAGGACGUCCCCUUCGGGGGCAGAGUGACAGGUGGUGCAUGGUUGUCGUCAGCUCGUGUCGUGAGAUGUUGGGUUAAGUCCCGCAACGAGCGCAACCCUUGAUCUUAUUUGCCACCAUUCAGUUGGGCACUCUAAGGGGACUGCCGGUGACAACCCGAGGAAAGGGGGGAAGGAAAGUCAAAAAAUCAAGGCCCCUUUAAACCGGGGGGAAAACUUGGUUCAAUGGGAAGAAAAAAAGGGGGGCAAAACCCCCCGGGUUAACCAACCUCCCAAAAAUGUUUUCUAUUCGGAAAGAACUCGGUAACCCACCCCCGUAUAGG
rnacentral:rRNA from 1 species